CGAAGUGUCGAGUAUUUGACAUAGGUAUUUAACAUAUUUUGAAGAGUAUGUAGGCAUUGGAUGAGAGAGAGAGAGAGAGAGAGAGAGAGAGAGAGAGAGAGGGUCGUUUAGACAUAGUAGAAACCAUUAACCCCCUUAUUUUGCACUUAAGACCACACCAUGGGGGAGUUACGUGCACCGAUUGCGGUAGGGUUAUGUGUUUUUAGACCAAACUAUAGGAGAAAAUGUAAUUAAUUCUAAUUCUUACUCAUUACAGUAGGGUUAUGUGUCUUUGGACCAAACUAUAGGGGGAAAUGUAAUUAAUUAAAAUUCUUAUUUAUUUUAUCCUUGGGUGAUGGAAAGGCAUAUUAAUUAACACAGAUUCCAUGCCUAAGGAGGGUGAGGAUAGGCGAUGGUGGUUUCAAGAACAAUAUUGGGAUGGGGGAUGCGGUAAAUUCAAACAAUCUGUUGGACAUUUGGGGUAACCAGGGUUGGUUGUCCUUCAUGGGACAGAGUUGGGAUGUGCCAUAGCUGAUUAGUGCGGUCUCUAGUGGUAUGGCUUUCAUGGAAGAGAAGGUGAUAAUGGUGGUAUUAUUCUGAAUUUGGUGGUCUUUUCCUGAAACAACAGUAAUUAAAUACAUGUAAAAUUAUGGAUGUAGUGAUUGUAAUGCUGUCUAUCCAAAAAGUUUGAAUAGAGAGGUCAGUAUAAAUUUGUUCAAGAUCGGCGAGGUCAAUGUAAUGAAGUCAAACCUCAAGAAGUAGCAGCACAAUUUACCGUAUUUCCAACUUUCUAUUACCAAUUGGAUGCAAAUUCAAUAGUUGUUUUGGUUUUAUUUUCAAUGCAAUUGUUUGACUACCAUGUCUCAAGUUUGGUGCCAUUUUAUUCUAUCUUGUACUUCAAGAUUUGAGCAAAGAACUAUGUUUUCAUGUGUCAAUUUAGGUCCUAUGGAAUUUGUUGCUCUUAGAAGUUUUCAAUCGCCCCUGGCUAAUUUUGAAUCUGAUUAAAUGGCACAAGUUUUUCUUGGAAUAAUUUCUGAUAACACUACAGUUGAAGUAUACCGACUGUUACUUCCUUGUAACAUUUUAGCAGACCAAGUUCAGGUGGAUUGGUGAUGUAGCAUGGUCUUCAUGAUAAUUUUGUCAAAACCUGUGGUUAUAUGAUAUGAUGAUAUGUAGAUAGUAAAGACAAGGAAGAGCAAGGAGAGAUCAUGGUAAGAAGAUAUAGAAGGAGAUAAAGAAGGGAGGGAGAAACCAAGAAAGAGAGGGAGAGCAGGUAAUGGGUUAUGAAACUAAUGUUUCUAUUGAGGACAUAGAGCAGCUUUUGAAUUUCAUUGGUGUGACGAGUUUAGGCCCACGCCAUGUACUGGCUAACUUGAAAGAGCUUCUAAGGACCAUCCUUUCUCCAGAAUAUAAAGAUACGUUGUUAUGAGCUUUCAAUCUUCAAUUGUAUGUUUUUGUAAAUGGAUUAUUUGUGUGUUCUUACACAGGUGCAAAUUUUUUUGAUGGAGCACCAUGCCAUAUAUAUACACCACCCUUGUAAUUUGUUAUUUUAGAGCAAUGCAAUGCUUAAUUUGUAAUUUGUCA